rnacentral:guide_RNA from 1 species
AUAACAACUAGGUAAACGAUAAUCUUACAUUGUAGUUAAUU